CAGGGGUGUCAGAUUUGGGUGCGACGAUGAGAGACCUGCAUUGUCACAAGGUUCGCUUGAUAAUUACAGACAUGAGUGCACAGUAUUGUGAGACUGAUAAGCAUCGAUGCGGGGGAAGAUAGGGAAUACAGAGCGUUAAAGGAUAACUGAAAGCAAUACUGACAGCUUGACAACUGCAAAAAGUGAAAUGAGAAAGGAAGGAUAUCAAUGGCAGUAACAUUAACAGGAUCACAACAACAAGGACAGACAUUCGCUCGGUGUAUAUCCUGCUGGCAUUAACAUAUAAAUGCGUAUAACAGUUGGCGCGUGGGCAGAGCAGCUCAUUGAGCAAUGUCAUCUACUAGAUACAAAUGUAUCUUAGCAGGUACAACAGAGGCCAGCAGCAGCAACAACAACAGCAAUCUCAACGGGGAAAUAAGCUACAAAUCGAUGCAUACUGAAAGCAACAAGUAAAGCACAACACAAAAGCAAAAUAAAAAUAAAAAUAAAAACAAAAA